AAAGAAUAAUGAGAUCAUGCAACGACUUUAGAAAACAAUAAUGCACAGAUUUUAACUCAACAAAUAAACAUUUAGGCUCAAGUCUCACAAGGUUGUAGCGUUAGUUUGAGUUCUUUCCUUCAAGCAUGUUACAAAAACUAAUUUUUUUUUCUUUUAUGAUUACAUGUGAUUUCAUAAGUUAUAACCACAACCACGCAUAAAUAAAGAGUAAAUCAAACUUUCAUCCAUGUUUAUAACUCUCUUUAACAGUCAUGCAAUUACAAACCGAAUCCUCAUCAUUGUGUUGGAAGGUACCCUAAGAUACAAAUAAGCGCACAAAAACAACUCUUUUUUUUUUAUUUUCAAAAACAAUUUUUCAAAUUUUUAUGAAUUUUCGGAUUUUUUAUGUCAAAACACACUGAAACACUCCAAAACAGCUUAAAAAAAAUACUUAAAACAACAAGGAACAACACUAGAAGUAAUGGGUGAUAAAUUUCUACGAAUUUCAUGCAAAACAAUGGUUACCCCCCCCCCC
rnacentral:lncRNA from 1 species